GACGAACGCUGGCGGCGUGCUUAACGCAUGCAAGUCGAACGGGCCCGCUCUCUUUUUUGGGGGUGGGUUGAGUGGCGAACGGGUGAGUAUCACGUGAGUAACCUGCCCCCUGCUCCUGGAUAACUGCUUGAAAGGGCGGCUAAUACGGGGUGUGCCGGCUGGUCCGCAUGGGCCUGGUCGGGAUAGUUUCAUCUUCGGGUGUUUCGGUGGGGGAUGGGCUCGCGGCCUAUCAGCUUGUUGGUGGGGUGAUGGCCCACCAAGGCGGUGACGGGUAGCCGGACUGAGAGGGUGGGCGGCCAGACUGGGACUGAGACACGGCACAGACUCCUGCGGGAGGAAGCAGUGGGGGGGAUUGCACAAUGGGCGGAAGCCUGAUGCAGCGACGGCGCGUGAGGGAUGGAGGCCUUCGGGUUGUGAACCUCUUUCUCCGGUGGUGAAGGCCCUGUCCGUUGCGGCGGGGUUGACGGUGGCCGGGUAUGAAGCGCCGGCUAACUACGUG
rnacentral:rRNA from 1 species